AGCACCUCACCUAAUCUCGUUAUUGGAUAUUUGAUACUAUCUCACAAAAUUAAAAUAUGAAAAUCAUCUAUUAUUUUUCAAUUCUCUUGUUUGUUCUUUCUAUUGGUUUUGGAAAUCAAAUGCAAUUGGCAAAUGCAAAAGAGUGUCAAGCAACGUUGUUUGCUCCUUGUAUGACAGAUGUUUGUUCAAUGGCAUGCAAUAACCGUUAUGGACGCUUAGCAAAAGGAAUAUGUAAUGGCCCAGGGAAUACAUGUGUUUGUUAUUAUCCAUGUUGAGCAUGUUUUCUGCAACAGUCAUGUUGCUCACCUUCUGUAUUUAUGAAAUGUUCAACAAAAUGAAUAAAACAGCAAAAUAAAUUGGUUUUGUUA